rnacentral:lncRNA from 1 species
UGGCAGCACAACUGGAUAAUGAUGGAUUUUUGGGUGGUGGAGCUUCUCUAAAGGUGUGUUUUAUUUUUGCUACCAUAGGCAAAUAAAGAAGUUAUUGUCUUUUGACUUGGCUGAUUGAAUUUUUUGUCAUAUUUGAAUUAGCCGAAUUUCAUUGAUAUUAUUAAGUUUGCCACAACGAAGAAGAAUUGAAGUUAAAACUAGGCUACAUGGCUUGCUGAUGCCUGCAAUUUUCUCUGUUAUGCUUCAUUGAGAACUAGAGUUAUAAUUUUGUUCAUUAUAUAUUAGUUGUAAUUUAGUUUUCUCUUUUUCCAAUUAUAUAUCAAAGGUAAUAUAUGUUUGUUGUUCAUCCAUUAUUGUUUCUUUUUUGUCCAGGUUUUGUGUUACCCCAUCCUAGACAAAUACCGGAUAUUUCUCAUCCCAACAGAGUAGAAGGUGUGUGCAGGCUCUUAAAAGAUGCCCGUAAAGGACAAUUAUUAUUUGUGCCAUGCAAUCCCAAUCUAGAAAUUUCAAACUGUAAUAAAGUGUUCUUAUCAUUAUUUAUUCAUUUUAGCUUUUCAUAGUUAUUGCUUUGUUUCUUUGGCUUUUUCUAUUUUAGCUUCCAUUGGUUUUAGUUGUGUUUGAUGGUGGUGGAAAAAAAAGUGUUUUAUUUGGAUCCUAAGGGGUACAUGCUCCUGAUCCUGAUUUAAAACAGCUGAUUAAAUCGUAUGUAUUCCUUUUGAUUUCACAAUCCUCAUAUUCUCGCUUUCUUUAAUAUAUUUUAGAUACGAAAAUAUUGUACUUUAUCAUAUAAUGCUAUGACAUUGUUCUCAGACUGAGAUAGAUGAAGUUUGUUUGGAGUGGGUUGGCCAUUGUUUUGAAACCAUUAGCGCAGCAAAAAAAAAAAAAACAGAAAUGGUUAGUAUAAAUCUGAAACUUAAUUAGUUAUAUUCACAUGUGCCUAAGCCUUAGCCAUAUUUAAGUUUUUUAUUUCUAGAUAUAUACUUAAUUUGUACAGGACAAGCUGUUACCAAAAUUAACAAACUUGGAUCUAGAUAUAUGCCAAAGAAAUCACAAAAUAGGAAUGAUAUAUAAAGCCACAGCAAGGAAAUUUGAUAUAUCAUAUGAAUAUGGGGUCUGUGUGUGCAUCUAGCAGUAACUUUGUAUACUAUCUAUUUAAAGCUUCCUCUUUAUUUUCAUACUUGCAAAAACGUUAAUUGCCUUUUGUAUGUACCCUUUUGGUUCCAUAUUUUAUUGCAAAAAGGAAUUAAUUUAAGUUGCAUCAGAAAUUUGGAGUUUUAUGUUAAUAGAUAACUCUUUAUAAUGAUAGCGUUGUCUAUAUUCAUUGGUGCUGCACAUGCAGAUUGAGUUUGAAUUUGUCAUGAUUUUGUUGCAUCUAUAACUUAGGAGUUUUACUAUAGUAGUUAAUUCUUUAUAAUGAUGGUGUUGGGCAUAUUCAAUAGGUGUUGCGCAUGCGGGUUAAGAGAAACUGUUGAACUUGGGAGUUUAUUCAUACAGCGCUAUGACACUGUUCUCAGUUGAGGAUUGUCAAGAAAGAUGGAAUUAUGGCUCUAAGAUGAGAUUUGUGAAGGUAAACUAAUUAUCUUAACUAAAAUUUUAUCUACCACUUUAAGCCUAAAAUAGAAUAUAUUUAUAAUUAUUAUUUUUUGUGGGUACCUUUUUGGUUCCAUGUUUUAUUUCAGCAAGGAAUUAAGUUGCAUCUGAAACCUGUAGUUUUAGUUUAAUAGAUAAAUCUUUAUAAUGAUAUGUUGGUUGUUAUCAUUGGUGCUGCACAUGCAAAUUGAGUUUAAAUUUGUAAUGAUUCUGUUGUAUCUAAAACCUAAUGGUUUUAUUGUAGUAGUUAAUUAAUUCUUUAUAACAAUAAUGCUAGCUAUAUUCAUUUGAUGUUGCACAUGCAGGUUGACAGAAUUGAAGCUACUGGACUUGAAAGUUUGGCUGGGUAUUUGUUGAAAAUGGCAGUUCAUGUACUGGAAGUUUACUGAAAUUAUGGGUUAAGUUCAGCACUACAGCCACUUGAUGCCUUCUUAGCUUGUAAAACUUGAUACAUUUGUUCUUAGUUGCUGGAUUUUGUCUGGUGAAUUGAUCUUGUUUGAUAUAAUUGUUGGAUAAAACUGUUUUUGGAUGGCAUUAUUAAUAUAAUCUGUUUUUCGACUUAAUAUAAUGUAUAAUUUAAUUUUUGG